GCCCGGCUCGAUGUGUCGGCCGUGCCCUAGCAGCACGUAAAUACUGGAGUUUGGGGAUGCCUCGUUGCUCUCCAGUAUUGCAUUGCUGCUUGAGCGAGGCCGGACCCUCCGCGCCGCCGC